GCUGUCUUAGUUUAUUUAAAAUGUUGCGUUGUGGUCGCAGAGAUGAACUCUGUUCAGGUAGUA
rnacentral:tRNA from 1 species